UUCUCCAAUUCUCUCAUUCUAUGUUAAUCUUCUUUUCACCAUUAUCAUCAUCGUUAAGAAACUCCUCUCACCCACAUCUAGGCUUCAGAUUUCACUACAAACAACGACCACAACAGCAGAUAGAUUUGAGGCCUUCGCAAGAUGCUAUUAAAAGAUGUUUCAUUUUUUAUGACUCUUCAUUGAUGUGUAGGCUUUGAGGGUGACAUAUCAACAAUUUGGUUAGAUUGCAUGGCAGACACAUUGGAUGAAUUCGGGUGAGUGAAGCGGUAGUCAAUC